rnacentral:rRNA from 1 species
GUCGAGCGGACAGAUGGGAGCUUGCUCCCUGAUGUUAGCGGCGGACGGGUGAGUAACACGUGGGUAACCUGCCUGUAAGACUGGGAUAACUCCGGGAAACCGGGGCUAAUACCGGAUGGUUGUUUGAACCGCAUGGUUCAAACAUAAAAGGUGGCUUCGGCUACCACUUACAGAUGGACCCGCGGCGCAUUAGCUAGUUGGUGAGGUAACGGCUCACCAAGGCAACGAUGCGUAGCCGACCUGAGAGGGUGAUCGGCCACACUGGGACUGAGACACGGCCCAGACUCCUACGGGAGGCAGCAGUAGGGAAUCUUCCGCAAUGGACGAAAGUCUGACGGAGCAACGCCGCGUGAGUGAUGAAGGUUUUCGGAUCGUAAAGCUCUGUUGUUAGGGAAGAACAAGUACCGUUCGAAUAGGGCGGUACCUUGACGGUACCUAACCAGAAAGCCACGGCUAACUACGUGCCAGCAGCCGCGGUAAUACGUAGGUGGAAAGCGUUGUCCGGAAUUAUUGGGCGUAAAGGGCUCGCAGGCGGUUUCUUAAGUCUGAUGUGAAAGCCCCCGGCUCAACCGGGGAGGGUCAUUGGAAACUGGGGAACUUGAGUGCAGAAGAGGAGAGUGGAAUUCCACGUGUAGCGGUGAAAUGCGUAGAGAUGUGGAGGAACACCAGUGGCGAAGGCGACUCUCUGGUCUGUAACUGACGCUGAGGAGCGAAAGCGUGGGGAGCGAACAGGAUUAGAUACCCUGGUAGUCCACGCCGUAAACGAUGAG